rnacentral:rRNA from 1 species
AAAUCUUGUACUACUCUAGGCGGUGGAUCACUCGGCUCGU